GCUGGCAGGCACAGGGCUUCUUAAGCUCAGUUAAUCCACCUUAAGCCAGACAAGAUCACUGCCCCCCUCCACCAAUCAGCGAGCCUGGGACUCAAGGCUCCGAUGAUGUUGCCGUCAUCAAGGAGUGUCAGUAUUGCUGAAGGAGCUGGGCCCAGUCCAAGGCUGAGCAGAUGGCAGGAAACUGCUGGAAGUGCCAGUGUCUGCAAGAAAGACCAUUUUCUCCAGAAUGCCCAUUUGUGAGCACAUGGCAGAGCUCCCACAUUGUGAG